CCCGUCCCCUACUAGGAGUCAGGGACCUCAGGACUGGAGGAGCAGAGGGAGUUUAUGGCGGGCUGCAAAAUACACCAGAGAAGGCCCUCAGGACGAGCCAGUACGGCAGGCUGAUGGUGCAGACUGCGUUCGAGGCUCAACUCCACCUGUCGAAAAAGAUUUCGGAGAGGGCGAGAAGGGCACCGUAUUGGGUGCAGCCCAGCAUCCCUAGACACACAGACUCUCUUGCGCACACACACACACACACACACACACACACACACACACACACACACACACACACACACACACACACACACACACACGUAAAUAGUUGUUUUAUUGUGUUUCAUAGAUUGGUUCAGAUUAAUUUAGUAUGUUCUUUUUUAUUACUUUAAGAUUCCUUUUUUAUUAGAUUUUCUUUUUUAGUAGAUGUUAAGAUUCAUUUACUUUUAGUGUGUUUUCAAAUGUUGUUCAAUAUUGGUAUGUGUUUAAUACAAGUUCCUUUUUACUUAAUGUCAACUAUAAUACUGAGCACGCUUAGCCUAAACAUGAAGCUAGGAACACCAAAUUGGUCAGGUAUUCUCAACACAGGCCCACCUUUGAGUUUGAAAAGGUUCAAGGCAAUUUGUAGCUUGAAACAAGCUCCAAAGUAACAGAGUUAAAAAGACAAACAGCCAGAGAACUUGAGACAGAAACCAGCCAGGACCAGUCUUAACUGUUAAAUGUAUAAGGAGCACAUAUGCAAAUAAAAAGCAUUACAAAAUUCA